CCCAUGUGAACUUACCUUUUGUUGCCUCGGCAGAAGUUAUAGGUCUUCUUAUAGCUGCUGCCGGUGGACCAUUAAACUCUUGUUAUUUUAUGUAAUCUGAGCGUCUUAUUUUAAUAAGUCAAAACUUUCAACAACGGAUCUCUUGGUUCUGGCAUCGAUGAAGAACGCAGCGAAAUGCGAUAAGUAAUGUGAAUUGCAGAAUUCAGUGAAUCAUCGAAUCUUUGAACGCACAUUGCGCCCAUUAGUAUUCUAGUGGGCAUGCCUGUUCGAGCGUCAUUUCAACCCUUAAGCCUAGCUUAGUGUUGGGAAUCUACUUCUUUUAUUAGUUGUAGUUCCUGAAAUACAACGGCGGAUUUGUAGUAUCCUCUGAGCGUAGUAAUUUUUUUCUCGCUUUUGUUAGGUGCUAUAACUCCCAGCCGCUAAACCCCCAAUCGGCGAGUGAAGCGGCAACAGCUCAAAUUUGAAAUCUGGCCCUUGGGUCCGAAUUGUAAUUUGUAGAGGAUGAUUUUGGUGCGGUAUCUUCCGAGUUCCUUGGAACAGGACGCCUUAGAGGGUGAGAGCCCCGUACGGUUGAAUGCCUAGCCUCUGUAAAUCUCCUUCGACGAGUCGAGUAGUUUGGGAAUGCUGCUCUAAAUGGGAGGUAAAUUUCUUCUAAAGCUAAAUAUUGGCCAGAGACCGAUAGCGCACAAGUAGAGUGAUCGAAAGAUGAAAAGCACUUUGAAAAGAGGGUUAAAUAGCACGUGAAAUUGUUGAAAGGGAAGGAUUUGUGACCAGACUUUUUCUGGGCGGAUCAUCCGGGGUUCUCUCCGGUGCACUUCGUCCAGUAAAGGCCAGCAUCGGUUUUCGGCGUGGGAUAAAAGCAGUAGGAAUGUGGCUCUCUACGGGGAGUGUUAUAGCCUAUUGUAUAAUACCGCGCUGGGGACCGAGGUUCGCGCUUCUGCAAGGAUGCUGGCGUAAUGGUUAUCAAUCACCCGUCUUGAAACACGGACCAAGGAGUCGAACAUUUGUGCGAGUGUUUGGGUGUUAAACCCUCACGCGUAAUGAAAGUGAACGGAGGUGAGAGCCCUUACGGGUGCAUCAUCGACCGAUCCUGAAGUUUUCGGAUGGAUUUGAGUAAGAGCAUA
rnacentral:sRNA from 1 species